rnacentral:lncRNA from 13 species
AUGCCCUCUCUGCCCGUGCCCUCUGCCUGUGCCCUUUCUGCCCACACCCUCUCUGCCCGUGCUCUCUCUGCCAGAGCUUGGACCAUGGCCCAAGACUCUGCAGGCAGCUUGCCCAGCAGCCCCGGCAGUGGUCUGAACCUAAGGCUCCAUGCCUCCGUGAGAAUCAGCAGCCUGUGCCCGGGUCAGAGGCCUCCACCCGCCACCAUAGGACCAGUGCAUCCUCACAGGGCACUCCUGAGCCAUCUGUCAGACCCGGACUCCCUCAGACUGGGGCCCCCCCAGCCACACUUGUCGUUCCCCAGGAAGCAGGAACCAGAGCAUCCUGGCCUCGAGCACCCCAGUCCUCAGCCGGUCCCAGCUCUGUCUGGCCACCCCCCAUGGGGAGACGCAGCCCAGCUUCACAGGGGAGCCAGGCAUGGCCCCAGGGAUCCCGCCUGUGUGCCUGGGUGGGCCGGGUGUGCCUGUCACACUGGAAGCGGAAGGAAGGUCUUGCAGAGGGAGCUGGGCUGUGGCCAAGUGGAUUCCAAGGGUGUUUUCCAGGCAAACCCAGAGGUGGGAUCGGCUCCUUCACGCAGCCCCCAGGAGGGGCGGCCCCCGUCUGCCUCUCCGGUGGGAGACCCUGGCGGCCCCUCCUGCAAGUCCCACAGAACAGCGCUCAGGCCUCACCUGGGAUCAGCCAGCCCUGGUCAGUGCCUCAGGAAAGAAAAACCAGGGACCCUGACACCUGGGCUCCGAGCCGCAGACCCCCCAGGUCUCCGACAAUCAUGGGUCCCACCUUCCCGGGGGAGAGAGAGGAACGGGCUCGGUGGGGGGGGGGGUUCCCAGGAGCAGCCAGGGCUGCGCUUGGGCGUGGGAGGGGAGGGGCCGCAGGGGUGCUUACGCUUGACGAGCCAGAUCCCCGGGGCCCCUCAGGGAGGACGGGGACCCAGGGCGAACAAGCUGCUGAUGGGGCCCAGGACCACGCUGGGGACCCGGCGAAGGGGGCGAAGCCACUGUGAGUCCACUGCCAGGACUCGAGCCUGGAAUGGCUGGGCCACCGGCCAGUGGGGGAUGGCUCAAAGGCAGGUGGACCCCAGGGUCCUCCCGUUCCCCGUCCUCGGCUCUCGGCUGCUGCAGAGAGGCUCCUGGUCCUCCGUCUGUGUCCAAGCACUGCCGUGA